GAAAGAUCGGUGUUGUUGCGCAUCUUCUGUCUCAACAAUGGUAACUUCUCAAUGUGUUCGAACUCCCGCCGUCACAGUGUCACAAUGUUCAAGCCAUCGUCAUUUCCCACGUGGAUGAUUCCUGCCUGGCAUUUGUGUGUGUGUCGUCCUGUGCGCCGCAUGGACCAUGACCUUAAUCAAAUUCUCAAAGGUAUCUGUGAUUAAAAAGGACCAGACUCAUUUUAGCCUGAGACACAUCGAGAUUGGGAACACAAGCAGGAGGAGUGGGAGAGGGAGAAGCAGGCCUCCCACCGAGCAGGAAGCCCCAUGGGGGACUCCAUCCCAGGAUUCCAGAACCAUGACCCGACCAGAAGUCAGAUGCCCAAAGACUGAGCCACCCAUGUGCCACUGCAAUCUCUUUUUAAAAAAAUAUUUUACAUAGAUUUUCAUUGCUGUUAAUAUUUAUAGCUAAGGAAUUCUGUGGCAGGAAUGCACUAAAUUUUUAAAAUCAUUUCACUAUUGUAUGAGGUCAAGUGCUUUCCAAAUUUUCCCUAUUAAAUAAUAAAUGUAGACAUAGUUUAAAUUUUAAAAAUACAACCAAUGUUCUCCAUACAGGUUGCACAGUUUUGAACUACCAACGGUGUAUGAGAGCAUCCUAUUCCCUAAACCCUUGCUAACAAGAAAUGUUAAUCAAUAUUUUGCACUUUUGCCAA